GAGUUUGAUCCUGGCUCAGAACGAACGCUGGCGGCGUGUUUAAGACAUGCAAGUCGCACGGGAAUAUUUUGGUAUUUAUAUUGGAAUAUUUUAGUGGCGCACGGGUGAGUAACACGUGAAUUACAUGCCCUUCAGUGGGGGAUAGCCCAGGGAAACUUGGAUUAAUACCCCAUGGUAUCGCAAGAUUAAAGGUGGCCGCAAGGCUGUCGCUGAAGGAUUGGUUCGCGCCCUAUCAGCUUGUUGGUGAGGUAACGGCUCACCAAGGCUACGACGGGUACCUGGUUUGAGAGGACGAUCAGGCACACUGGAACUGAGACACGGUCCAAACACCUACGGGUGGCAGCAGUCGAGAAUAAUUCACAAUGGGGGCAACCCUGAUGGUGCAACGCCGCGUGGAGGAUGACGGUCUUCGGAUUGUAAACUCCUGUCAUCUGGGAGUAAGACCUGGCGAUUAAUAGUCGACAGGGUUGAUAGUACCAGAAGAGGAAGGGACGGCUAACUUCGUGCCAGCAGCCGCGGUAAUACGAAGGUCCCGAGCGUUGUUCGGAAUCACUGGGCGUAAAGGGAGCGUAGGCGGCGUGGUAAGUCAGAUGUGAAAUCCCGGGGCUCAACCCCGGAACUGCAUCCGAUACUGCCGUGCUAGAAGAUUGGAGAGGUAGCUGGAAUUCUUGGUGUAGCAGUGAAAUGCGUAGAUAUCAAGAGGAACACUCGUGGCGAAAGCGAGCUACUGGACAACUCCUGACGCUGANGCUCGAANGCUAGGGUAGCGAAAGGGAUUAGAUACCC
rnacentral:rRNA from 1 species